rnacentral:rRNA from 1 species
UCGAGGGGUAUGGGUUUUCGGACCUAGAGACCGGCGCACGGGUGCGUAACGCGUAUGUAAUCUACCUUUUACAGAGGGAUAGCCCAGAGAAAUUUGGAUUAAUACCUCAUAGUAUUAUUGAAUGGCAUCAUUUAAUAAUUAAAGUCACAACGGUAAAAGAUGAGCAUGCGUCCCAUUAGCUUGUUGGUAAGGUAACGGCUUACCAAGGCAACGAUGGGUAGGGGUCCUGAGAGGGAGAUCCCCCACACUGGUACUGAGACACGGACCAGACUCCUACGGGAGGCAGCAGUGAGGAAUAUUGGUCAAUGGGCGCAAGCCUGAACCAGCCAUGCCGCGUGCAGGAUGAAGCAUCUAUGGUGUGUAAACUGCUUUUGUACGAGAAGAAACACUCCUUCGUGAAGGAGCUUGACGGUAUCGUAAGAAUAAGGACCGGCUAACUCCGUGCCAGCAGCCGCGGUAAUACGGAGGGUCCAAGCGUUAUCCGGAAUCAUUGGGUUUAAAGGGUCCGUAGGCGGUUUUGUAAGUCAGUGGUGAAAGCCCAUCGCUCAACGGUGGAACGGCCAUUGAUACUGCAAGACUUGAAUUAUUGGGAAGUAACUAGAAUAUGUAGUGUAGCGGUGAAAUGCUUAGAGAUUACAUGGAAUACCAAUUGCGAAGGCAGGUUACUACCAAUAUAUUGACGCUGAUGGA